GCCUGGGUGGCUCAGUCGGUUGAGCAUCCGACUUCGGCUUAGGUCAUGAUCUCACAGUUCGUGAGUUCAAGUCCCACGUCAGGUU
rnacentral:tRNA from 1 species